CUUUAAUGGCACAAUUUUCAGUUUAAUAGUGAUUUAAUGUGGAUGUAGUAAAUAAUAAAAGAAAAAAUCUAAGUUAAUAUUAAUUUUGAUAAGCGGAGAAACCAUUAAAUAAUUGAUUUGGAUCUUCAACUCCAAAGCUAAUGGCAAGUUCGACAAAUGAUCAAGAUCUGCAAAAGAUGUCUCCCGUGCAGUUUACAACCGCACCCACCAUUGAUGUUUCACUCUUGGCUAAAGAUUCUCAUCAGAUGAAACAUAUGGUCAUCAAAGAAAUUGGCAAAGCUUGAAAAGAUUUUGGUUUCUUUACGGUAAGCUCAAAUUCUCACCUCAAUUCUAUUCCUCAGCUAUUCUUUCCUAAUCAAAUUUAAUUGAUGUUCUGAAGUUUCUAUGAAUUUUCUGCCUGUUAACCAAGAGCAUCAGUAAACCAAGAGGGUUCUUGCUGCUGUUUUUUCUUUUUUCUGGAUUUGGGGAUUUGCAGAUCUUUAACCACGGAAUAAGUCCUGAAUGUCAACGCAAGAUUCUUCGGCUUGCCAGUAGAAGAGAAAAAGAAGCUGGAGUCUGAUGAUGUGAACAAGCCAGGAAGAUAUGCGACCUUAAUUCAGGAUGAAAGUGAGCGUAAGAAAUUCACAAGGGAGUUUCUGAAGAUUUAUGCACACCCGUUAGAAGAUUGAAUUGGAUCGGAUCAUGGCCUGAAAAUCCACCAAAUUACAGGCCAAAGAUGAAAGCAUACACCACAGAAAUGAGAAGCCUGAGCUGUGAAAUUUUUGGCGGUAUCAUGGAAAGUCUGAACAUGAAUCCCACAUAUUGGCAACAUAAGAUAGAACAAGGAAUGCAAAUGAGUAUAAACAACUAUCAAUCAACAGUUUCUCAAUCUAACAUCCUGACAGGAGCAGCACCACGUACAGACCAUACUAUAAUCACUAUUCUUCUACAGAGUAGUCCUGGCCUUCAUGUCAUGAACCCUAGUGAUGGGACUUCGAAGGCUUGCAUACAACUCAAGUGUUCCUUACAUAUCCUAGUUGGGGAUCAUCUUGAAAUGCUUAGCAAUGGCAUGUACAAGAGUAUUCUGCACCGGGCGAUACCAGCAGCUAGUGCAGGUUAAGGAAGGUUAUCUAUUGCUAGUUUCCAUAGCUUUGCCAUGGAUGAGGUGGUGGAGCCUGCUAUGGAAUUGAUAGACGACAAUCAUCCAAAGGGUUAUAAGGGGAGCAGCUUAAGAGACUACCUGAAGCAUCUCUCUUCUAAAGAAUCAAAGCCCUUUAUUGAAACUCUUAUCAUAAAAUAGUCAACUGAAAAAUAAACUCUAUUCCCAACAAUGAUACAAUAAAAGAAGAAAACAAAAUAAAUUAGCCAAUUUUUCCAUUAUCGAUUGGUCUCCUUUUAAAUACAGAUUGGAGAGUGAUUUUAGAUUUCUUCAAUAUAUAUCUUCUUGCUUUUCUUA